GUACACAAAAAUGCACAUACUGUGAGCUCGAUGAGUAGGGCGGGACACGUGGUAUCCUGUCUGAAUAUGGGGGGACCAUCCUCCAAGGCUAAAUACUCCUGACUGACCGAUAGUGAACCAGUACCGUGAGGGAAAGGCGAAAAGAACCCCGGCGAGGGGAGUGAAAAAGAACCUGAAACCGUGUACGUACAAGCAGUGGGAGCCUCUUAAUGGGGUGACUGCGUACCUUUUGUAUAAUGGGUCAGCGACUUAUAUUCUGUAGCAAGGUUAACCGAAUAGGGGAGCCGAAGGGAAACCGAGUCUUAACUGGGCGUUAAGUUGCAGGGUAUAGACCCGAAACCCGGUGAUCUAGCCAUGGGCAGGUUGAAGGUUGGGUAACACUAACUGGAGGACCGAACCGACUAAUGUUGAAAAAUUAGCGGAUGACUUGUGGCUGGGGGUGAAAGGCCAAUCAAACCGGGAGAUAGCUGGUUCUCCCCGAAAGCUAUUUAGG
rnacentral:rRNA from 1 species